GGAGCCGGCCGGACAGCCGCGUCAUCGAGCGAUCGAUGCCGAGGAAAGUCCGGGCUCCACAGGGCACGGUGCCAGGUAACGCCUGGGCGGCGCGAGCCGACGGAAAGUGCAACAGAAAGAUACCGCCUAUGUCGGAGCGAUCCGGCAGGUAAGGGUGAAAUGGUGCGGUAAGAGCGCACCGCGAGUCCGGCAACGGACCGGCACGGCAAACCCCACCGGGAGCAAGACCAAAUAGGGAGACCAUGCUGCGGCCCGCAGCGUCUCCGGGUAGGUUGCUCGAGCGCAUCGGCGACGAUGCGCCUAGAGGAAUGGCUGUCCACGACAGAACCCGGCUUACAGGCCGGCUCCGCCA
rnacentral:RNase_P_RNA from 1 species